rfam:Trichobilharzia regenti genome assembly, scaffold: TRE_scaffold0039144
AUCCAGAUAACGACUCCCAAACAGGAGGAAAUGCGCAUUCUGGAU